rnacentral:rRNA from 1 species
UACGGGGGGAGCAAGCGUUGUUCGGAUUUACUGGGCGUAAAGGGCGCGUAGGCGGCCACCGCAAGUCGGUUGUGAAAUCUCUGGGCUUAACCCAGAAAGGUCAACCGAUACUGCGGGGCUAGAGUGCAGAAGGGGCAACUGGAAUUCUCGGUGUAGCGGUGAAAUGCGUAGAUAUCGAGAGGAACACCUGCGGCGAAGGCGGGUUGCUGGGCUGAUACUGACGCUGAGGCGCGAAAGCCAGGGGAGCGAACGGG